rnacentral:rRNA from 1 species
GACGAACGCUGGCGGCGUGCUUAACACAUGCAAGUCGAACGGAAAGGCCCUGCUUUUGUGGGGUGCUCGAGUGGCGAACGGGUGAGUAACACGUGAGUAACCUGCCCUUGACUUUGGGAUAACUUCAGGAAACUGGGGCUAAUACCGGAUAGGAGCUCCUGCUGCAUGGUGGUGGUUGGAAAGUUUCGGCGGUUGGGGAUGGACUCGCGGCUUAUCAGCUUGUUGGUGGGGUAGUGGCUUACCAAGGCUUUGACGGGUAGCCGGCCUGAGAGGGUGACCGGCCACAUUGGGACGGAGAUACGGCCAGGACGCCUACGGGAGGAAGCAGGGGGGAAUAUUGCAAAAUGGGCGGAAGCCGGAUGCAGCAACGCCGCGUGCGGGAGGACGGCCUUCGGGUGGUAAACCGUUUUCGCCUGGGACGAAGCGUGAGUGACGGUAAUGGGUAAAGAAGCACCGGCUAACUACGUG